AUUGGAGCCUCAGCUUCACGAUCUGUCCUUCCAGUGCGCACUCAGGGCUGAUUUCCUUAAUAAUGGAUAUGUUUGAUCUUUUUUUUUUUUAAUGAUAUUUAUUCCAAGUUUAAAGUUACAAAAAAAGAAAAGGAAAAAACAGUACAAAAUACAAAGAAAAAAUUAACCAUAGCCAUAACAGAGCAAAAAGUAAAAAGAAAAAAAGGACAAUAAAGUAGGAUAAAAAAAGCAGAACAAAAGAUAUAAAAAAGCAUUGAAUUAAAAUAGAACAAAAGCCAAUUAAACCUUUACAUAACUUUUUCCCUUUACUUAUUUCCUUGACCUCCUCUCACCUCCCAAUUUUGUAUUCUAGUUCAGAUCGUUUUUUUCAGCAAAUCCUUCCAACCUUAUUUUCAUUUACGUAUUUUAAUUUAAAAUAUUAUAAUUAAACAUCCUCUGUUUCAUCAAUUUCAUCAGCUCAUUUUUACUUAAUCCUUUAUCUCAUAUCUACCAAAACUGCCUAAUUUUCUUUUUCCAACAUCUUUCUAACUGUCUUUAAUAUUACAAUGCUUUUGAAGAUAUAUUUUAAAUUUUUUCCAAUCUUCUUCCACCGACCCUUCUCCCUGGUCUCGGAUUCUGCCAGUCAUCUCAGCCAAUUCCAUAUAGUCCAUCACUUUCGUCUGCCAUUCUUCUCGGGUGGGUAAUUCUUGUGUCUUCCAGUACUUUCCGAUGAGUAUUCUUGCUGCUGUUGUAUCCUACAUAAAAAAGGUUCUAUCCUCCCUUCGCACCGAUUGGCCGACCAUGCCCAGAAGGAAGGCCUCUGGUUUCUUCUGAAAGGUAUACUUAAAUACCUUUUUCAUUUCAUUAUAAAUCAUCUCCCAGAAGGCCUUGAUCCUUGGGCAUGUCCACCAAAGGUGAAAAAAUGUGCCCUCAAUCUCUUUACAUUUCCAACAUUUAUUAUCGGGCAAAUGAUAAAUUUUUGCCAGCUUGACUGGGGUUAAGUACCACCCGUAAAUCAUUUUCAUUAUAUUUUCUCUUAAGGCAUUACAUGCCGUAAACUUAAUACCUGUGGUCCAUAACUGUUCCCAGUCAGCAAACAUAAUAUUAUGUCCAACGUCUUGUGCCCAUUUAAUCAUGACAGAUUUAACCGUUUCAUCCUGAGUAUUCCAUUUCAACAGCAAGUUAUACAUUCUUGACAAAUUCUUGGUUUUAGGAUCUAACAAUUCUGUUUCCAAUUUUGAUUUUUCCACCUGAAAACCAAUUUUCUUAUCUAAAUUAUAAGCCUCUCUUAUUUGAUAGUAAUGAAGCCAGUCUCGUACUUUAGUUUUUAAAUUGUCAAAGCUCUGCAGCUUUAAUCUAUCUCCAUCUUGUUCUAAAAUUUCACAAUAUUUUGGCCAAUUUGUCUCCAUAUUAAUUUUUUUCAGAGCCUUGGCCUCCAUUGGUGACAGCCACCUUGGUGUUUUACUUUCCAGCAAAUCCUUAUAUCUCACCCAGACAUUAAACAAUGCUUUCCUAACAAUAUGGUUCUUAAAGGCUUUGUGUGCUUUGACCUUGUCGUACCACAAGUAUGCAUGCCAUCCAAAAACAUUGUUAAAACCUUCUAGAUCCAAAAUGUCCGUGUUUUCAAGAAGCAGCCAAUCUUUCAGCCAGCAAAAUGCGACUGAUUCAUAGUAGAGUUUAAGGUCUGGCAGGGCAAAUCCACCUCUCUCUUUAGCAUCAGUUAAAAUCUUAAAUUUUAUUCUAGGUUUCUUGCCCUGCCAGACAAAUCUCGAAAUAUCUCUCUGCCAUUUCUUGAAACAGUCCAUCUUGUCCAAAAUUUGCAAUGUUUGAAACAAAAACAACAUCCUAGGCAAUACAUUCAUCUUUAUCACAGCGAUUCGGCCCAGCAAUGAUAACUUCAAUUUUGACCAUAUUUCCAAAUCCUUUUUCACUUCCAUCCAACAUUUUUCAUAGUUAUCUUUAAAUAAAUUCACAUUUUUAGCAGUCAUAUGAGCCCCUAGAUACUUCACUUUCUUAACCAAUAUUAAUCCUGUCUCCUUCUGAAACCUCUUUCUCCAUCUCUGUGAGAUUUUUCUCUAACACCUUAGUUUUCAACUUAUUCAACUUAAAUCCUGCUACUUGACCAAAUUCUUGAAUUAAUUGCAAUACUCUUUUAGUACUGGAUUCUGGCUCCUGUAAUGUCAAAACCAAAUCAUCAGCAAAAGCUUUCAAUUUAUACUGUUUAGCUCCGAGUUGUAUACCUUUAACCAAUUGGUCUUUCCUGAUCAUGUUAAGCAAAACCUCCAGGACCGAUAUAAAAAGCAAUGGGGAGAUUGGGCAGCCCUGUCUUGUUCCUUUCUCAAUCUUAAACUCUUCUGUAACUACGUUAUUCACAAUUAGCUUAGCUUUUUGUUCUGAGUAAAUUGCACCUAUACCGUUUUCAAAACCUUGGCCUACCCCCAUUCCCUGUAGAUUUUUCUUCAUAAAGCUCCAAGAAAUGUUAUCAAAGGCUUUCUCCGCAUCCACAAAUAUUAAAACUGCUUUAGUGUUAAUAUUAACUUGUAGUUUUUCUAAAAUAUUAUGUUCCUCGUAUUAUCUGACAAAUGCCUCCCCGGGAGAAAGCCCGCUUGGUCCUUAUGAAUUUCUUCCACUAGUACCUUUUUUAAUCUUUUAGCCAUGAUUUCCGCAAAAAUUUUAUAAUCCACAUUAAGUAAAGUUAUGGGACGGUAGUUCUUAAGCUGUGUCUUUUCCGAUUCUGUUUUCGGUAUAAGUGUAAUAUAUGCUUCUUUCCACGACUCGGGUGCCUCCCCCCCCCAAUAUUUCAUUGCAAACUUCCUUCAAAGGCUGUAUUAACCAUUCUUUCAGGGAUUUAUAAUACUUUGCAGUCAAACCAUCUGGCCCUGGAGAUUUGCCCAAUUUCAUGUUCUGAAUGGCUCCUUCCACCUCUUGGUCAGUUAUUUUACAAGGAUACGUUUGAUCUUCUUGCAGUCCAUGGGACUCUCAAGAGUCUCCUCCAGCACCAUAAUUCAAAAGCAUCAAUUCUUCGGCGAUCAGCCUUCUUUGUGGUCCAGCUCUCACUUCCAUACAUCACUACUGGGAAACCACUUUCUCUACGGGCAGAAAUUCCCGAGCAGCGAGGAAACGUAAGGUUUAAGGGGAGAGAGAGCCUGGCUGCCUAGAGCAGCCCUGAAAAGGCCCCUCUCUCCAUCACCCUGUCUCGUCUCCUAUACUCUUUCCGCUUGUCUUGGGAGGCCUCUGGGGUGGCGAGUCCUUUGGGUGAAGGGGAGGCUCUGGGGCGACUGGGGGUGCAGAGAAGGGUGUUGGGGGGCUGAGAGAUGAAUGGGAGGAUCCCCUGGGUGGGUGGGUGGAAAGGAAACCAUGGGACCCAAGGCCUUUGAGGUCCCUGCAAUGCCCCCCCAUGAACCCAGGGUGGGGGGAGAGCGGGCUCUUUGGGGGGCUCAGAAAUGGGUGUCCCUUGAGAAGGGGGGAGGACUCCAAGUGGGGAAAGAGGGUGGGCACCUAUAUUUGGCAGAUGCUUUCUUUGCGACCCCUGCAUUGCGGAGGGGUUGGACUAGAUGACCCUGGGGGUCCCUUCGAGCUCCACCGUUUUAUGGUUCUGGUGGGUAGAGGACAGACUGAAUUAGUAUCACCAGAAAACAUUUAAAAAAGCGUCUCCUUGUGUGACGUGAACUGUGGGUUCUCACAUAUGGAAAUGUCCAAAAUUCAGCAUUCGAUUGACGUUGGAGAGAGACUGAGUUGAGAAAUAAGACCAAGGGUAGAUAUUGAUAUAGGAAGGUAUUAGAUAAAAUGUAAAGAAAUAUACAAUAAUACAAGUACAUUAAUUUGUAAAAAAGGAAUAUACAACGGGAUAGACAGGAUGUCCAAAGUGUUAGUAUAUAUAUAUGAUUUUGGAAUAGUUUUUUGUCCUUGUGAUUUCCCCCCCCCCUUUAAGGAUAUAAACUUUGUAUACAUGCUAAAAAUUACAGUAUAAUAAGCCUUGUGAUGUAAUAUGAUGUUUACCGAUGUAACAAAAGAACUUUAAUAAAUAAAUAAAACUG